rnacentral:tRNA from 1 species
CUGAUGAUGGUGGAGCAUCAGACUUUUAAUCUGAGGGUUCAGGGUUCAAGUCCCUGUUCAGG